ensembl:lncRNA
AAAGUACCAUAAUGUGACCAUAUAAAAUCUUACAUGGAUUUAUUUAUUUAUUUGAGUGGUAUUUUUCACUGGAGCAUUGACAGAAACAGCAGUUUAUAUCUGUAUUAGAUCUAUAAAUUAAAUAUAGAUAAUUAAAUAAAGUUAAAUACAUUAAAAUAUAUUAAAGUUGAAUAUAUUUAAAUAGAUAAUUAGAUUGAAAUAAUAUUAUAUCCUAUUAAAUAAUUAAAUAAUAAAUAUUUAACACAUAGAUUUAAAUUAAAUGAAAUAGUGUAUUUAAACGUGCGCUGGCCACGAGGGGCGUUAACGUGAUGUUACGUGAGUGACGUAAACGUGAUGGCAAAAAAAAAAAAAAAACGUAAACGUAACGUGAUGGCGCAAAUAACCACGAAGACGGAAGAAUAAUUCUAUUUAUUACAAAAGACUGAAGAUAUAACUGCCGCCAUCCUUUAAUUUAUUUAUUUAUACGUUGAGGACACUUUAUAAACCUACAGAGAUACCGGACCAACGAACGACCUUCACAACGGGACGGAGCUAACGUAAUUAACGUUAACGGUUACUUGGAAAUUCAAACAGUAACGGUCAUCUGACAACUGCGCUGAGCCAAAGGACGGGAACAGCAACAAGAGUUUAACUUCUGAUUCGUAAUCUACACACUCUACUGGGCAGUUCAUGAAGACAGAUAGAUGUUGUGCCGACCAGGACAGUUCCUCCUACCACACCAGACUUUGCUGUAUAUGGAUGCCUGACCACUAGCACUGGACAUUUACAACAUUUUGGCACCAGGGAUCCAUUGCAGAGAAGAUUUUUCAAAGACACCCUCAGAAUUACAACAGAUUUUAAGGCUUAAAAUUAUUGUGGGUGGGAGUAUAAUGAACAUAAUAUGAUUGUUUUAUUUUAUUAUUAUUAUUUAUUUUUAAAUAGUUCCCAUUUUUUAAUAAUACAUUUGUUUAAUAAUACAGCACAAUAUAGGGCUAAGUUGCACCAGGUCAGGAAAAAACACAUAAGUUGCAUCCGUGUAUAAGACACAUUUUACUAUUAAUUUCAGAAAUAAUUUAAAUACUGAUAAAUAAAACAAACGUUAAGAAACUUAAAAACUAUGAACACUGUAAAGAUUUUAUUUUCCCUCACUUCAAAUCAUUUAAAUUGAAUACUAUUCAAAACAGAAUAAAAAUAAAA